UUCCUUAGUCUAUUUAUUUAAAUUUUUUUCUUAGUUUUGGUUUAAAAAUAGUUGAUUAAUAUAUUUAUUUUGGUAUUUUAUAUAUCCUUUUAAUGGAAAAGAAAAAUAAAAAUGGAACCAAUGGCCCGCCACUUGUCAAAAUUUCACCCUAUCCACACAAAAAAGGCACAAUUCAUUUUGAGAAGGGAAUAUUCCUUUCAUCCUUCAAGAUAUUUUUAUUCAUGUGGGCAUUUUGGGAAAAGCAAAAAAGGAAUAACACACUCAAAACCCUAACCUAGACACCCUAUAAAUAUCUAAUUAUAGAAACGUAGAGACUCUACGUGAUUUUCCAUCCAUAUCAGCCGCAACUCACUCGAAGAAAAGAAAAAACUUCCUCUCACGUUCCUCAUUCACCAUUUAAUAUAAAACAAGAUCAUGCCUUGAUCACUACCAUAGACAGUUAUGUAGAACCUCAUUUUACCGCACAAAAGACCCAUUGAAAAGCUCCAAAAGCCAGCUGAAAACAGCUCCAUAAACUCAUUGAAAAAUAGCCCUUAAAACAUCAUUGAUACCCAGCCAAAACAGUCCGACAAACCACCAGUUUCGGGUUCAGUGAGGUUCGUCAAACUCGGGUGAACAGCCCUAUUUUCAAGUUGGGUCAGCGUGCUUUUGUUUUUUUUUCUCUGUAAUCCGACGCUCGGGUCUGUUAUUAAUAUAACGAAGAAGGUUUUACUCCAUUAAAGGUACAGACGUUCGUUCUGGUGACCCGCCAGUGUAGGACACUUAUUCUGCUAUUCGGAGUGCUCCCUUUGAUCCGGAGCCCAUAUUUUUGGUACAUAUCUUCCAUGGUACAUAUUUCUGUAUGUAUGUAUGUAUAUGACUAUUUGGGGUACGACGGGGCCUGUCCCGUCAUAUGUUUCUGUUAUGGUUUGUAGAGGCCUGUAGACAUAUAUGUGGGUCAUGGGUCAUGUUUGUUCGAUUAUGUUUGUGAUUUGUGCCUUAAGCGGUCCCGUUUGCUAUUAUGGCCAAAACGACCCACAUGUUUGUAUAUGUAUGUGAUAAAAUUUCUCAAUCA